GCGCCCAUAGCUCAGCUGGAUAGAGUGUCUGACUACGAAUCAGAAGGUCGGGAGUUCGAAUCUCUCUGGGCGCACCA
rnacentral:tRNA from 2 species